rnacentral:lncRNA from 1 species
GAGUUAUGCACCCUCGGCUUCUCAGACGUCUGUGCCACUCCACAGGGCUUCCUUUCUUGCCCUGCUUUGCAAGGCUGCCUAGCUAAUAUCUCGGGGAAAGCUAAACAAACAGCUUCCAAGUUCCGACACAGGUUGAUCAGACUCAGUUAAUGGUUCAUUCUCAUCGGGUCUGCGAAGCCAAAAACCAGGAUGGGCUGAGAGGCAAAAUCCUUGCGGGCAUUAAAAAUGAAUUAAGAGAGUCACGUGGCCUACAAUGGCAAGCUAGAACAAGAAGUGAGCAACUGUCUCAUCUACUAAAACCAGAAGUGACUCAAUGGGCCAACUCUUCCAACCCUGACUCGUUCAUUCAAGUCAAUGCUAAUUUUGCCUGAGAAAAGUCAUUCUCUCCCCUGCCAAACUCAACAUCUCAGAAGGACGUGUUGGGUGAAAGGCCUGGGAUCCCCAUUUGGAUCAACCUAAUUGACUGUGCUGUGGUGAAAACCUCGUUCGAAUAUGCUGUGGGAAGGAGCUGGUUCACAUUCUAAUCUACCUAGACGACCCUGGUUAUUUCUGAACCCCAUCUCCCCCAAUCCUUUUGUGCCAGUGCCUUGCUCAAACGUCAGUGCAAAGCUACUCCACAAGCUGACCUGAGCUAUGCUGCUGAUAAACUGAGGAAUUUCCAUUGCUGCCACUGAACUGCUUCCACUCAGCCGUUCUGCCAGCACGAGGUACAAUGUCAGGAACAUUCACAAAAAUAAAUAAACCUUCACAACAUUGGCA